rnacentral:rRNA from 1 species
UGCAAGUCGAACGCUGACAUUCGGGUAGCAAUAUUUGAAUGUCGGAGUGGCGCAAGGGUGCGUAACACGUGGGUAAUUUGCCGUGAAGUUUGGGAUAACUUGCUGAAAGGCGAGCUAAUACCGGAUGUGAAUGUAAGAAGGCAUCUUUUGACAUUCAAAGUUGGGGACCGCAAGGCCUGACGCUUUACGAUAAGCCCGCGGCCUAUCAGCUAGUUGGUGAGGUAACGGCUCACCAAGGCUAAGACGGGUAGCUGGUCUGAGAGGACGACCAGCCUCACUGGAACUGAGACACGGUCCAGACACCUACGGGUGGCAGCAGUCGAGAAUUUUUCUCAAUGGGCGAAAGCCUGAAGGAGCGACGCCGCGUGGGGGAUGAAUGGCUUCGGCCCGUAAACCCCUGUCAUUUGUGAACAAAUUGCUUCACCUAACACGUGAAGCAUUGAUUGUAACGGAAGAGGAAGGGACGGCUAACUCUGUGCCAGCAGCCGCGGUAAUGCAGAGGUCCCAAGCGUUGUUCGGAUUCACUGGGCGUAAAGGGUGCGUAGGCGGUUUGACAAGUCUGAUGUGAAAUCCCGCAGCUUAACUGCGGAACUGCAUUGGAAACUGUUUGACUAGAGGAAUGGAGGGGAGACUGGAAUACUUGGUGUAGCAGUGAAAUGCGUAGAUAUCAAGUGGAACACCAGUGGCGAAGGCGAGUCUCUGGACAUUUCCUGACGCUGAGGCACGAAAGCCAGGGGAGCAAACGGGAUUAGAUACCCCGGUAGUCCUGGCCCUAAACGGUGCGCGUUUGCUGUGAGCGGAAUCGACCCCGCUCGUGGCGAAGUUAACACAUUAAACGCGCCGCCUGGGAAGUACGGCCGCAAGGUUAAACUCAAAGAAAUUGACGGGGGCCUGCACAGCGGUGGAGUAUGUGGCUUAAUUCGAUGCAACG